GACGGAGGAUGCAAGCGUUAUCCGGAAUGAUUGGGCGUAAAGCGUCCGCAGGUGGCAGUUCAAGUCUGCUGUCAAAGAUCGGGGCUUAACUUCGGAAAGGCAGUGGAAACUGAACAGCUAGAGUAUGGUAGGGGCAGAGGGAAUUCCUGGUGUAGCGGUGAAAUGCGUAGAGAUCAGGAAGAACAUCGGUGGCGAAGGCGCUCUGCUGGACCAUAACUGACACUCAGGGACGAAAGCUAGGGGAGCGAAUGGG
rnacentral:rRNA from 1 species